GUUGCAGUUGUAUAAAAAAAAUUAAUAAGUGAAUAACGCAGAGAAUAAACUGACUUUUCAGUGAAAUCAUUCAUACAUUCAUUCCUUCCGAAAUCUCGAGAUUGGUUUUUAGAGAUGGUGGAGACGAGGCGUAGCUCUUGGGCGUCAAAGCGGCUCUCUUCUUCUUCUUCUCCUCCUCCAGAAACUUGACCAUCACGGCCUACCAAACGAUCCAAGAAACCUUAGAAGGCUAAACCGGAGAGUGAGGUUCCGAUUGUAAAUCAAAUUCCGGUUCCCAAGUCCGGAGAGCUUCUGAUCCCAAGAUUAGUAGUGAUUUAAUCCGCAAGUCCAAGGCUUUUUGCAUGUUGCAAUUGUUAUCCUUCUUAAAAGUUAUUUUUUGGUCUUUUUGCUCAUAUGUUUUCCCGCUAGGUGAAGAACUUGUGUCUGAAUCUGACAAGUCGAAAUGGACUAAAAGGCUCCUUGUGAGUGUGUGUCUGGUUUCAUACCUUGUUUGCAUGUUGGUGUUCAGUUAAUUGAGUCGAGUGGGGAUUUAGCCGACAAUGUACGUUAGUUGAUCUAGUGUGGGGAUUUUUUCAACGAUUACUUGUCUUGUUUCUAACCCUCCUGCUGAAUAAUUACUUGCGUUUUCACAACCCUCAUCGUGAGAGGCUCUGUGUUUACUGUUGGACGAAGAGGAUGAUGCGAUUUGUCUAUCAAAGAUCAGUCCAUGCCCAGUCUUCUUUCUGAACUGAGGCAGUCUCAGCAGCAUCACAUAUGGCCUGCAGGUGUUGGAUGGGAUUCAAAACGAAAACAAGAGCACAAAGAAAUCUCUCAAAGAUGUUGUUACUGAGAAUGAAUUCGAAAAAAGACUAUUAUCAGUCGUCAUUCCUCCAAGGGAUAUUGGUGUUUCGUUUGAUGAUAUUGGAGCUUUGGUAAAUGUGAAAGACACCUUGAAGGAGUUGGUGAUGCUUCCUCUUCUGAGACCUGAAUUGUUUGGCAAAGGCCAGCUUACAAAGCCUACAAAGGGUAUACUGUUGUUUGGAUCGCCUGGUACAGGGAAGACGAUGCUGGCAAAGGCGGUGGCAACAGAGGCUGGCCAAGUGGUUUGGUGAGGGAGAGAAGUAUGUAAAAGCUGUUUUCUCUUUAGCAAGUAAGAUAGCUCCAAGUGUUAUUUUUGUUGAUUGAGGUUGAUAGCAUGUUGGGAAGACGCGAGAAUCCAGGGGAACAUGAAGCUAUGCGUAAAGAUGAAGAACGAGUUCAUGAUAAACUGGGACGGCUUACGCACAAAGGAUAAAGAAAGAGUGUUAGUACUAGCUGCUACAAACAGGACAUUUGUUUGACUCGCAGGAGAGAAGUGUGGCUCAAGCCGAAAACCGACCAAUGCCCCAAUUGUAUAGUAGUACAGACAUUAGACCCUUGAACAUGAAUGAUUUCAAGACCGCACAUGAACAGGUAUGUGCUAGUGUGUCCACUGAUUCAUCGAACAUGAACGAGCUGCAGCAAUGGAACGAGCUAUAUGGAGAAGGGGGGUCAAGGAAGAAGACAUCACUGAGCUACUUCAUGUAAAGAGAAACAGAGAGGUUGUGUACAGAGAGAAGUCAUUUAUUUACAGAGAGAAGAGUUAUUUAUUUACAGAGAGAAGAGUCAUUUAUUUUUAUUUCUCUAAAUCCUCUGAGAGAUUGAUGUACAAUCUAUUUGUAGAUGCUCUUAUGUACUCCAUAUACAGAAGGAUUAGGUAUCUUACUGCUAAUUUUAUUUAAAUUUAUGGGUAAA